rnacentral:rRNA from 1 species
UACGGAGGGAGCUAGCGUUGUUCGGAAUUACUGGGCGUAAAGGGCGCGUAGGCGGCCUGCUAAGUCGAACGUGAAAUCCCCGAGCUCAACUCGGGAACUGCGUCCGAUACUGGCAGGCUUGAAUCCGGGAGAGGGAUGCGGAAUUCCAGGUGUAGCGGUGAAAUGCGUAGAUAUCUGGAGGAACACCGGUGGCGAAGGCGGCAUCCUGGACCGGCAUUGACGCUGAGGCGCGAAAGCCAGGGGAGCAAACGGG